rnacentral:rRNA from 1 species
UAUAGCGUAUAUUUAAGUUGUUGCAGUUAAAAAGCUCGUAGUUGGAUUUUGGGUCGGAGCGACCGGUCCGCCGUUCCGGUGUGCACUGGUGGCUUCUUCCUUCUUGCCGGGGACUGCGUCUGGCAUUCGUUUGCUGGGCGUAGGAGUCGGCGUGGUUACUUUGAGUAAAUUAGAGUGUUCAAAGCAAGCUUGUGCUCUGCAUACUUUAGCAUGGAAUAACAUUAUAGGACUCUGGUUCUAUUUUGUUGGUUUUCGGAGCCGGAGUAAUGAUUAAUAGGGACAGUCGGGGGCAUCCGUAUUUCAUUGUCAGAGGUGAAAUUCUUGGAUUUAUGAAAGACGAACUUCUGCGAAAGCAUUGCCAAGGAUGUUUUCAUUAAUCAAGAACGAAAGUUGGGAGCUCGAAGAUGAUCAGAUACCAUCCUAGUCUCAACCAUAAACGAUGCCGACUAGGGAUUGGCGGAUGUUAAUCGAUGACUUCGCCAGCACCUUAUGAGAAAUCAAAGUCUUUGGGUUCCGGGGGGAGUAUGGUCGCAAGGCUGAAACUUAAAG